AUUGAACGCUGGCGGCAUGCCUUACACAUGCAAGUCGAACGGCAGCACGGGGGCAACCCUGGCGGCGAGUGGCGAACGGGUGAGUAAUACAUCGGAACGUGCCCAGACGUGGGGGAUAACUGCUCGAAAGAGCAGCUAAUACCGCAUGAGAUCUGAGGAUGAAAGCGGGGGACCUUAGGGCCUCGCGCGUUUGGAGCGGCCGAUGGCAGAUUAGGUAGUUGGUGGGGUAAGAGCCUACCAAGCCUGCGAUCUGUAGCUGGUCUGAGAGGACGAUCAGCCACACUGGGACUGAGACACGGCCCAGACUCCUACGGGAGGCAGCAGUGGGGAAUUUUGGACAAUGGGCGCAAGCCUGAUCCAGCAAUGCCGCGUGCAGGACGAAGGCCUUCGGUUGUAACUAGCUUUGUACGGUACGAAAGACCUUCUUCUAUACAGGAGGUGAUGACGGUACCGUAACGAAUAAGACACCGGCGUAACUACGUAGCC
rnacentral:rRNA from 1 species